rnacentral:rRNA from 1 species
UACGUAGGUCCCGAGCGUUGUCCGGAUUUAUUGGGCGUAAAGCGAGCGCAGGUGGUUUAAUAAGUCUGAUGUCAAAGGCAGUGGCUCAACCAUUGUGUGCAUUGGAAACUGUUAGACUUGAGUGCAGUAGAGGAGAGUGGAAUUCCAUGUGUAGCGGUGAAAUGCGUAGAUAUAUGGAGGAACACCGGUGGCGAAAGCGGCUCUCUGGCCUGUAACUGACACUGAGGCUCGAAAGCGUGGGGAGCAAACAGG